GAUGAACGCUAGCGGCAGGCCUAAUACAUGCAAGUCGAACGGUGUAGCAAUACACAGUGGCGCACGGGUGCGUAACACGUAUGCAACCUACCUUACAUUGGGGGAUAGCCUUUCGAAAGGGAGAUUAAUACCGCAUAAGACAGUAACUAGGCAUCUAGUAGCUGUUAAAGAUUUAUCGAUGUAAGCUGGGCAUGCGUCCAAUUAGUUAGUUGGCGAGGUAAUGGCUCACCAAGACGAUGAUUGGUAGGGGAACGGAGAGGUCAAUCCCCCACACUGGCACUGAGAUACGGGCCAGACUCCUACGGGAGGCAGCAGUAGGGAAUAUUGGGCAAUGGGCGCAAGCCUGACCCAGCCAUGCCGCGUGCAGGAAGAAGGCGUUAUGCGUUGUAAACUGCUUUUAUACAGGAAGAAACGACCCUUGCGAGGGGCAUUGACGGUACUGUAUGAAUAAGCACCGGCUAACUCCGUGCCAGCCGCCGCCGUAAUAC
rnacentral:rRNA from 1 species